rnacentral:lncRNA from 1 species
CGGUGUGCAACAUCAAAGUUAAGGCUUCGUUUGGAUUGCGGGGAGAUAGUGUUACGUGCGGCGAGAAAGUACGAUGGAUAAAUAUUCUGUUUGUUUUAGUACGUAAUAUUGCGUUACGCAUAUCGCGAUGAGUCGGUUACGAUAUAUUUUCCGCAGUUCCACCGGAGAACGCAGAAACAUAUUCCUAAAUGUUUUUUUCUCAACUCUAUUUUAUCUAAUAACAUUUGAUAUGACUCAAUACCAAACUAAACCUAAGAAACUCACGGUCUACCGUGGUUUGUUAAUUUUACGUUUAUCCAAAAGUCCUAACUUUUCAUUCUUAAAAUUUAAAUUUUUUAAAUUUAAUAUAUAAAA